rnacentral:rRNA from 1 species
GACGAACGCUGGCGGCGUGCUUAACACAUGCAAGUCGAACGGUGAGGCCCUUCGGGUACGACGAGUGGCGAACGGGUGAGUAACACGUGGGUGAUCUGCCCUGCACUUCGGGAUAAGCCUGGGAAACUGGGUCUAAUACCGGAUAGGACCAUGGACUUCACGGUUUGUGGUGGAAAGCUUUUGCGGUGUGGGAUGGCCCGCGGCCUAUCAGCUUGUUGGUGGGGUAAUGGCCUACCAAGGCGACGACGGGUAGCCGGCCUGAGAGGGUGUCCGGCCACACUGGGACUGAGAUACGGCCCAGACUCCUACGGGAGGCAGCAGUGGGGAAUAUUGCACAAUGGGCGCAAGCCUGAUGCAGCGACGCCGCGUGAGGGAUGACGGCCUUCGGGUUGUAAACCUCUUUCAAUAGGGACGAAGCGCAAGUGACGGUACCUAUAGAAGAAGACACCGGCAACUACGUGCCAGCAGCCGCGG